rnacentral:rRNA from 1 species
CACAAGCGGUGGAUGAUGUGGAUUAAUUCGAUGCAACGCGAAAACCUUACCUACCCUUGACAUGUCCAGAAUCCCGAAGAGAUUUUGGGAGUGCUCGCAAGAGAACCGGAACACAGGUGCUGCAUGGCUGUCGUCAGCUCGUGUCGUGAGAUGUUGGGUUAAGUCCCGCAACGAGCGCAACCCUUGUCAUUAGUUGCCAUCAUUUGGUUGGGCACUCUAAUGAGACUGCCGGUGACAAACCGGAGGAAGGUGGGGAUGACGUCAAGUCCUCAUGGCCCUUAUGGGUAGGGCUUCACACGUCAUACAAUGGUCGGUACAGAGGGUUGCCAACCCGCGAGGGGGAGCUAAUCCCACAAAGCCGAUCGUAGUCCGGAUCGCAGUCUGCAACUCGACUGCGUGAAGUCGGAAUCGCUAGUAAUCGUGGAUCAGCAUGUCACGGUGAAUACGUUCCCGGGUCUU